GACUAUACCUUUGAUGUCACAAAAUUAUGGGCAUAACCGUAAUAUCAAUCUUAUUGUUCUACCACACAAAACAAGGACAUGGAUUUUGUUAAUCAGAAACAAAUGGCGAGCACUUUGUUGUCCGUACACCGCUUUCUUCCCUCCCAAAGGAGGGAAAACAUUGGAUACUUGAGUGGAAUCAGGACUUCAUUGUGUGGACAAGUUGUGCUCAAUCCAAAUUUCCCUGGGAGACAGAUAACAGGAAGCCAUGGAAACCGUUUUGUUGUUAACUCACUGUUUGGAAUUGGAAAGAAGGCCAAGAGUAGAGUGAUCAGAGAGACUGUGAUUCCUGAACCAGAUUAUAGGAUUCCGAUUGUACUACUUGGUUUUGCCGGUGGGUUGGUUUACACAGAUAAUCUAGUGCCUGGUGUCCCUGUUGGUCUCCUCGGAUUGCUUCUGUUGUUCCAGACAACUAGAGUGAGAUUUGUCUUUGAUGAUGAGGCUUUGGAGGUAAAGAUAGGCGAUCAGCUCGACGAAUCGGGUGAGAAUGCUUUUGUCGGUGGAAAAAAUCGCUGGAAGUACUCAACCUUCGUGAAUUGGGAAUUCUGGUGGCCAAACUUCCCUAUCUUGGUUUACUUCAAGGAAACACAAACAAAGCCUGAAGGACAAAUUCACUUCUUUCCAAUAAUCUUUAAUGGAAAGCAGCUUUAUGAUGUUAUGGUGGAAAGAGCUGGUUCUUCAAAAACUAGUGCUCCAAAAGAAUCCUAAAGACUUAGUUGUGUGGCUUGAGCCUCAGGAAUCGAUGUCUCUAGGGAGUAAUUGUUUCGAAUUACAGUUUUGAAACCAUGGAUAUCUUGGGAAUCCUGCAAGGAGGUUUCUCAAGUUUGGGUUGUUGCUUGUGGCUAGUGGAAGAUGAUGCAGUGCUCUCAGAUGUUUCAAGUUGCAUACAAGUUGAAGCACAAUAACAAUUCAUUUAUUAUUAUUUAGUAUUGCUAGCACAUAAGUAGCACAUUCUAUUUAUUUGAACUGGCUAGUUAUUUACUUUAUAAUUUCACAGUACCCAUUUAUAAAUUAUUCGAAUCAUGGUUUCUUCCGGAGAUGAUAUAAUCUCCUAUAUGUUUCAAACUUCAUAUUGGUUACUACAAAUCAAACAUGAGAAGCUUUUGUAUUCUGUA